CUUUUUCUCCAUUUCCUUCUUCUUCUCCUUUUCCUUCUUCUUCUCCUUUAUCCAUACUCCUACUAAUAAGCUCCUCCCUAUUAAAAACCAAACAAAGCAAUUCCAGCUGUAGUAAGCGAAGCAGCAAAAGAUAGUUUAAAUAAAGUUCUUUCAAAGCAAACAAAUAAACAAACAAAACUAAACAAAACAAAACAAUU
rnacentral:ribozyme from 14 species